rnacentral:rRNA from 1 species
AUCGAUAAUCCGCGUUAANUUUUACUUUAAUUCAAAAUUUAUAUACCACCAUCUCAAGAUUUAAUUCAAAAACAUUUCUCUAAAAAAUAAAUAAAAAGUUAGGUCAAGGUAUAGCCUAAAUUAAAGAAUUAAAUGAAUUACAUUAAACACAAUUUAAAGAUUAUAAAUUUAUAUAUUUAUAUAAAUAAGAAUUUAAAAGCAAUAUUCUAAUAAUAUUAAAAUAUGAUAAAGAUAAUAAAUGUGCACACAUCGCCC